UCCGUCAACGGUCGCCGGCAAGCCGCAGCCCAGUCGCCGCGCGUCUCGCUCAACUAGGCAUCCAACAAAUUGCACCAGGCGCGGCGCCGGCGGGGGUACCUUCGGACCCAUGACUGGGUUAUCGGUCAGGCCUACUAGCGUACUCUGCACUCUGCAGUAGCUCCUCUCUCGUCCCCGACCAGUCUACAGCCAACACCCGAGCAGCGUGUCCUCGCCGCCCCGCGUUGGUCGCUCGGUCCCGAUCGGCCGCGUGCGUGCCAAGUCAGUGGUGUACGGCGCAAUGCCAAUCCCGAGGACCGGAGAAUGCGGCGUGGCGGCGGCGCCGUCUCGGAAGCCGCGCGCUCAGGGUGUUCGUGGAAAUGCCGCCGCCAGGACCCGUCACUUGAGGACUCCAUGGAUGGAUACGGAUACGGAAUUACGGAUACGGUGACUGUCGAAUGCCUCGUGUGAAUGGGCGCGUCGUGCAGGAGCAGGUCGAGGACGUACGGGCGCACGGGCGCGUGGUGCAUGGACCUGGUCACCUCGCCGGGUCAAACUGCAUGCAUGGUUACUCCUACUUAGCACAGGAAAAGGCGCGUAUCUCUGAAAGCCACAAUUGCCGAAGAUCUGCAAGACCCGAUUGGUGUGAGAUAGUAUGCAAAGCGCAUGAUCCUAAAGGCGCCUACAAUCUAGAGCAAUCAUCGGGUUGACAGUCAAGGUGUGUACAUGGUUUGGACUUAGGCGCAAGUGGAGGCAGGAAAAAUAAGAAAGCAAUUGUUGUGGUGGUGACAGGGCGAGGGCGACCUGGUGGCGGGUGCCUUCUGACUGGCUGCUUUGGCCUGUGGUGUUACGUUCUGUUGUCCUUGGUCCUUGCUGUUGAUUCAGUGAUGUGUAUGGCUGUUUCCCAUGGCCCAGGUUCCAGAGGCGCAUGAUGGAGCUUUGGUCCUCGGGUCACGGCUCAUGUUGCUGACCGGAAUUCAAAAGCACUGGAAGUUAACAGCCAUGGUGGAGGUGCUUCUGUGAAGUGUGAACGUGGCCUAUCAAAUUGAUUCAUUCAGGUGGUGAUGGCCUAUCAAACAGAGACAAGAACAACUGUCGCCAAAAAUUUACUAACCCUCCAUUUGGGUGUGUAGUAACUGUGUAUGGUCAUCGUGGUUUUGUACCUCCUCUGUUUGGGUUUGUUUACCAGUCGCCAACAAUUUACUGACUGACUGUAGCAUAGUCAAAAUCGCUAUGGUAAAAAGGUGAUGUCAAAAUAGCAUAGUCAAAAAUUACUUCCCCUCCGUUUGGGUUUAGUUUCUUCGACAUUACCCUUUUUUUUAAUUGGUGAUGAUGUCGAAAACGGAGGGGAAGUGAUUUUUUAUUGAUUGAGAUUAUGUUGAUGAUUAUGCUUACUUGGUUAUUACAGUAUGAGCGCAAUUGCACAUUUUA